CCUUAUGGCCAUAUAAUGUUGAAUGGACUGGUUCUCGUCCGAUCACCAAAGUUAAGCAACAUUGAGCCUAGCAAAUACUUAGAUGGGUGACUGUUUGGGAAACCUGGGGGUUGUAAGCA
rnacentral:rRNA from 1 species